GACGAACCGUCCGAACGUUAUUCGGAAUCACUGGGCUUAAAGGGUGCGUAGGCGGCGCGGAAAGUUGGGUGUGAAAUCCCUCGGCUCAACCGAGGAACUGCGCCCAAAACUACCGUGCUCGAGGGAGAUAGAGGUGAGCGGAACUUAGGGUGGAGCGGUGAAAUGCGUUGAUAUCCUAAGGAACACCGGUGGCGAAAGCGGCUCACUGGAUCUCUUCUGACGCUGAGGAACGAAAGCCAGGGGAGCAAACGGG
rnacentral:rRNA from 1 species